rnacentral:sRNA from 1 species
GCUGGGCAUGGUGGCCCACACCUGUAAUCCCAGCUACUCAGGAGGCUGAAGCAGGAGGAUGAGAAGUUCGAGGCCAGCCUCGACAACUUAAAUGAGAACCUGUCUCAA